AGCGAACGCUGGCGGCAGGCUUAACACAUGCAAGUCGAGCGGGCGUAGCAAUACGUCAGCGGCAGACGGGUGAGUAACGCGUGGGAACGUACCUUUUGGUUCGGAACAACCCAGGGAAACUUGGGCUAAUACCGGAUAAGCCCUUACGGGGAAAGAUUUAUCGCCGAAAGAUCGGCCCGCGUCUGAUUAGCUAGUUGGUGAGGUAAUGGCUCACCAAGGUGACGAUCAGUAGCUGGUCUGAGAGGAUGAUCAGCCACAUUGGGACUGAGACACGGCCCAAACUCCUACGGGAGGCAGCAGUGGGGAAUAUUGGACAAUGGGCGCAAGCCUGAUCCAGCCAUGCCGCGUGAGUGAUGAAGGCCCUAGGGUUGUAAAGCUCUUUUGUGCGGGAAGAUAAUGACGGUACCGCAAGAAUAAGCCCCGGCUAACUUCGUGCCAGCCGCCGCAGUAACAC
rnacentral:rRNA from 1 species